rnacentral:rRNA from 1 species
ACGAACGCUGGCGGCGUGCUUAACCCAUGCAAGUCGAACGGUGAAGCGCCUUCCUUUUUGGUGGGUGUGGAUGAGUGGCGAACGGGUGAGUAACACGUGAGUAACCUGCCCCCUUCUUCUGGAUAACCGCAUGAAAGUGUGGCUAAUACGGGAUAUUCUGGGUCUGUCGCAUGAUGGGUCUGGGAAAGAUAUUGUUUCGGUGUGGGAUGGGCUCGCGGCCUAUCAGCUUGUUGGUGGGGUGAUGGCCUACCAAGGCGGUGACGGGUAGCCGGCCUGAGAGGGUGGACGGUCACACUGGGACUGAGACACGGCCCAGACUCCUACGGGAGGCAGCAGUGGGGAAUAUUGCACAAUGGGCGCAAGCCUGAUGCAGCGACGCCGCGUGAGGGAUGGAGGCCUUCGGGUUGUGAACCUCUUUCGCCAGUGAAGCAGGCCUGCCUCGUUUGUGGGUGGGUUGACGGUAGCUGGAUAAGAAGCGCCGGCUAACUACGUG